rnacentral:tRNA from 1 species
GGAGAUAUAAUUCAGUGGUAGAGCAUGUGCUUAGCAUGCAUGAAGUCCUGGGUUCAAUCCCCAGUACCUCCA